rnacentral:rRNA from 1 species
AUUGAACGCUGGCGGCAGGCUUCACACAUGCAAGUCGAGCGACCGGCGGACGGGUAAGCAAUGUCUGGGAAACUGCCUGAUGGCGGGGGAUAACUACUGGACACGGUAGCUAAUACCGCAUACUAUCAGCUGAACCCAUAUGGGAUUAGCUAGUAGGUGAGGUAAUGGCACACCUAGGCGACGAUCCCUAGCUGGUCUGAGAGGAUGAUCAGCCACACUGGGACGGAGACACGGCCCAGACUCCUACGGGAGGCAGCAGUGGGGAAUAUUGCACAAUGGGGGCAAGCCUGAUGCAGCCAUGCCGCGUGUAUGAGGAAGGCCGUCGGGUUGUAAAGUACUUUCAGCGGGGAGGCGUUACCCGCAGAAGGAGCACCGGCUAACUCCGUGCCAGCCGCCGCGGUAAUAC